rnacentral:rRNA from 1 species
GACGAACGCUGGCGGCGUGCUUAACACAUGCAAGUCGAACGGUAAGGCCCUUCGGGGUACACGAGUGGCGAACGGGUGAGUAACACGUGGGUGAUCUGCCCUGCACUUCGGGAUAAGCCUGGGAAACUGGGUCUAAUACCGGAUAGGACUCCUGCCUGCAUGGGUGGGGGUGGAAAGCUUUUGUGGUGUGGGAUGGGCCCGCGGCCUAUCAGCUUGUUGGUGGGGUGAUGGACUACCAAGGGGACGACGGGUAGCCGGCCUGAGAGGGUGACCGGCCACACUGGGACGGAGAUACGGCCCAGACUCCUACGGGAGGCAGCAGUGGGGAAUAUUGCACAAUGGGCGCAAGCCUGAUGCAGCGACGCCGCGUGAGGGAUGACGGCCUUCGGGUUGUAAACCUCUUUCAGCACAGACGAAGCGCAAGUGACGGUAUGUGCAGAAGAAGGACCGGCCAACUACGUGCCAGCCGCCGCGGUAA